rnacentral:miRNA from 1 species
CAACAAUCUAUGGUCUCCUGC